UGGGGAAUAUUGGACAAUGGGCCACGAGCCUGAUCCAGCAAUUCUGUGUGCACGAUGAAGGUCUUCGGAUUGUAAAGUGCUUUCAGUUGGGAAGAAGAAAGUGACGGUACCAACAGAAGAAGCGACGGCUAAAUAUGUGCCAGCAGCCGCGGUAAUACAUAUGUCGCAAGCGUUAUCCGGAUUUAUUGGGCGUAAAGCGCGUCUAGGCGGUUUACUAAGUCUGAUGUGAAAAUGCGGGGCUCAACUCCGUAUUGCGUUGGAAACUGGUAGACUAGAGUACUGGAGAGGUGGGCGGAACUACAAGUGUAGAGGUGGAAUUCGUAGAUAUUUGUAGGAAUGCCGAUGGAGAAGUCAGCUCACUGGACAGAUACUGACGCUAAAGCGCGAAAGCGUGGGGAGCAAACA
rnacentral:rRNA from 1 species